CUGAACAGUGACAGAAGCUUACCUUGAUCGGCAGUGAGAAGAGAUAGAUCUCCUCAAGCGACUUGAUCUUCAUAUCCUUGACCAGACGGCCAAGCUUGGUGACAGGAAUCCACUAGGAAAGAAAUCCGUGGGAAAGGGUCAGCGGCAGCACAAGCUAUCGGCACCCGGGGUAACUGCCUGCCUUUCUGCUCCAGCUUUCAGGACGGCAACAGAUGCGGCCGGGCUCGCAGAGCCCAGCUCCGCCGCGAUCCUCACCACCCUGGCUGGCCCCUCACAGCCCCACAGACCCCGCUCCGACCCCGGAACCACUUACUUCCUUAUCUUCGGCCUUGCCUCCACGAGCUCCGCGGCCUCUCCCUCGGCCCCUACCGCGGCCACGCCCGCGGCCCCGCAGCCCGGUCCCGAAACCGCCGCGGAAGCCUCCUCGGGCCGCUCCCGCACCUCCCGCAGCACCGGCGUCGUCCGCCAUUUGCUGCAACAGGAAAAAAAGCGCGGUAGCCGGGACACCAUCACCACCGCACCACCCCGGCGGGACCCCGCACGUCUCCGCGGCGCCGGUGGCCCCGAUGGGAGCGGAUGGCCCGCGGGCCGCGCCGCACCGCCGCCACCACCAUCGCUCCCGUCUGCCAUAGCUUACGUGAUCUCUCAGAGUAGAAGGCCACGCAGCCGCGCCGCUUUCUAUUUAUAGUCCACGGAGGUCUCGCGAGAGCACCGCUCGGUGGCGCCGGCCCCGCGCGCUGAAUACAGUAUACUCUGCAGCGCAGAGCGGCGCCUUUUGCGCGGUUACACAGGGCGCGGGGAUCCCAUCGGCGACCCGUGCGCACGCGCCAGUCUGGCGCACGCGCGGGCCGCCGCCAUAAAGGGGGCGCGCACGCGCGCGGGACUCAGUCGAGGUGCGGCUGAGGUGCCGAGCACUGCGCGGGCGCACUCGGCCUCCAGAGGCAGACGGACCCGUCCCACCAGUGCUGCGGAGCUCGGCUCUGUCCUGCCGAGAAAGAGGUAUCGCAGCACGUGGGCACCAUGUGCUCAUCUCAUACCUUCCUCGCAACUCCUUCCUCUUUGCUGCUUGUGCAGGUGAGCCCUGUGAAGUCAAAGGAACGCUGCGACGCUUCAGAAUUCUUCAGCUGUGUGUUUUAAUAUGCAAUAAAAGAUUAAUUACUUGAAA